rnacentral:lncRNA from 1 species
AUGGGUAGGACUCUCUGGGGAGGGAUCGGUUGGGGGCGUUGUCGGAGGGAGGCUCUUGGGCAGCCCAACGGAGAGGGCUGCCUGAGGGAGGGAGCGGUUGGGGGCACAGUAGGGGCGCUGCCUGGGGAGGGGGCGGUUGGGGGCACAAUGGGUAGGACUCUCUGGGGAGGGGUCGGUUGGGGGCGUUGUCGGAGGGAGGCUCUUGGGCAGCCCAACGGAGGGGGCUGCCAGAGGCAGGGAGCGGUUGGGGGCACAAUGGGGACGCUGCCUGGGGAGGGGGCGGUUUCGGAGGGACGCUCUUGGGGAGGGGCUGUCAGAGAGCCGCCUGGGCGGUACGUGGGUCGAGGCCGAGGCCCGGGCCGGUCCGGUCCGGGUCCGGGGGCGGGGGCCGGGCCGUGCCGGGCAGCGGCUGCCUCUGCAGCGGUACCUGACGAAGGACGAUCCUCCGCUCGGGGCCCGGGCUCUCGAGCGGCCCAGCAGGCGCGGGUGAGACAGAUCCAUGGCGGCGGCGGGGGCCUCGGCAAGGGUCCGCAGGAAGCGCCGGCGGCUCGGAGGGGCGCUCAGGCCGGGGCCGGGGCCGGGGCUGGGGCUGGGGCGGGGGCCGGAGCCGGGUCCAUCCUCGGGGCGGGGGAGGGGAGGAAGGCGGGGCCGGGCCGAGGAGGAGCCGCCCCCGAGGGCGGGGCUCCAUUGUGGCCGCAGGGGGCGGGGCGAAGCGGGGCGCACCACUCUGAUUGGAGCGAGGGGGGAUGUCGGGAGAGGCGUCCACUCAGCGGGAGGAAGUGGCUUGGCCACGAGACUCUCACCACGAAAGAAGGAGAAAUUCUAAGUAUCCUUGAACUUGGGCGCGGCCUUGGGUGGAGAUGUAGCCACGGCACACAGAAAGACAGUAUCUGUCGUCACGAACCCCCCCCUUCAUGUGGAUACAAGCGCGCCCAUGAGAACUGCUGCGGGCAUAGCCACGCCUCUUCGAUCCCUGCCCUCCCCCGCCCCCAGCCCUUCCUGGGAGGUUGGGUUGUGGUCUCCCCUCCCCCCACGCACACCCCCUUUCUGCCUUGGGCCAGUCGCCCACUCUCGGCUCUGCCUGGAGACAAGCCCCUGGGACGCCCCUCGCCAUGCCACCAGGAUUGGUGCAAUCUCCUCCUCCCGCCCUCUGCACUCCUCCAUUGGCUCGGUCUUGCUGCACUGAUCAAUCAGUCACCAAUACUUGGACGAAUCUGUGACAGCUUCAAAGACCCAGAGCUGGGCCCAGGACACCAAAAUCAACACACUGAUCUCCUUUCCAAAACCUGUGAGUGGGGAAGGAAGAUUUGGGAUAGGUGAGGAGAAACACCAAUAUAAACGUGCUACGCUGUUACCUCUUGUGUCUUUGCUAUAUUUAGCUAUGUAGCUAUAAAAAAAAAAGUGGUACUCAAAUGUAAUUUAAUCUACUUUCCUUCCCCUAAAAUAUGGGUCCAAAUCAUUCUCUACCUGUAGCGCUUGUCCAAGAUACAUGAACAAAUGGACUUGUUCAAUCAGUUGUCCAUCCAAUUCCGUGUUAUAAUCUUGGCAAUAGACCUUAAUCCACUUUGAGUGACUGUGCAUCUCACUGAGGGCCUAUAAUGUCCCUUUCCUCCAUGUCAUCAGCAAAUGGUUUAUAAACAAGAUCAUUUGAAGACCCUCGCUAUCCAUAAAUAUCUCUCUCUACACAGGACUUUCUCCAUGACGGGAAAGCACAUAUCUCUGUUGGAUUUCUCACCUUAUGAUGCUCCUCAG